rnacentral:rRNA from 1 species
AACAUAACAAUAACCGGAGGAAAAGAAAUUCCCUAGGAUUCCUCCNGUAGCGGCGAGCGAAGAGGGAGAAGCCCAAAACCGAAUCCUAGUAGUUUAACUGCUGGGAAAUGUGGUGUAUGGUUCAGUCUAUACGGCUGGUCGGAGCUGUCUUAAGUCCACUUGAUUGUGGCUCCUUGCCCAUAGAGGGUGUAAGGCCCGUAAAGGCAGUACGGCUUGCUUCUGGAUUGUUCCAANAGUCGGGUUGUUAGGGNUUGCAGCCCAAAGAGGGUGGUAAACUCCAUCCAAGGCUUUUACUANAUGGUUUGAUAUANUNNUCNNNNCCAUGNGCANGUAANAAAAUNAACUUUCANGUCNGANUGUNUCCNCAUNCCCCCAAACGCUCGGGGUNNNAAGCCGGAAUGACGCCGAANGGGCAUAAGCGUUUACUUUUCUGUGCGCUAAUACUGUCUGGUCGGUCAUCCGCAAGGAGGCAGCUUGAUGGUGUUUGGUGUGCAGUUGAGUUUAUAGCUCGAUUGUCAAGCUUCCUGAUCUGUAGCGGUCGUAAUGAUUCUGGUAGGAAGGUACCUUGCCGUAAGGUGAGGACUUAUAGCCUGCCUCUAUUGUUGCAUGCUGUUACAGUGAAAACUGAUGAAAGUGUGGAGAUCCUAGUAGACUGUUACUUCCACUGAUUAGAGACUCGCAAGAGACUCCAUGAAAGUUUAAGAGGUUUCAGUUGGCUGGUCGUAUCCUGCAUCAUUAGUCAGGGUUGUCUAUGUAGGUGGAGAUUCCGACCCGUCUUGAAACACGGACCAAGGAGUUUAACAUGUGCGCGAGUCAAUGGGUGCUACGAAACCUAAAGGCGCAGUGAAAGUAAAGGUCUGCAACGGUAGACUGAGGUGCGAUCCUGAUUUCUUCGUGUUCACACACAGGAGUUGGGCGCAGCACCGGCUCGUCCCAUGCUUUAUUAAGCGGGGCGACGCAAGAGCGCACAUGCUGAGACCCGAAAGAUGGUGAACUAUGCUUGCGUAGGUUGAAGCCAGAGGAAACUCUGGUGGAGGACCGUAGCGAUUCUGACGUGCAAAUCGAUCGUCAAACGUGAGUAUAGGGGCGAAAGACUAAUCGAACCAUCUAGUAGCUGGUUCCCUCCGAAGUUUCCCUCAGGAUAGCUGGCACUCGGGAAACAAACAGUUUUAUCCGGUAAAGCGAACGAUUAGAAGUAUUGGGGAGAAAUGAUCCUCAACUUAUUCUCGAACUUUAAAUGGGUGAGAAGCUUAACUCGUUUAAAUAGAGUUGGGCAUUGAAUGUGAGUGCCUAGUGGGCCAUUUUUGGUAAGCAGAACUGGCGCUGUGGGAUGAACCAAACGUUUGGUUAAGGUGCCUAACACGACGCUCAUGAGAUACCACAAAAGGUGUUGGUUGAUAUAGACAGCAGGACGGUGGCCAUGGAAGUCGGUAACCGCUAAGGAGUGUGUAACAACUCACCUGCCGAAUCAACCAGCCCUGAAAAUGGAUGGCGCUGGAGCGUUGGACCUAUACCAGACCGGCAGUGCAAUGCACAUCAGUUGCUGUACGCAGUGCCGAGUAGGAGGGCGAACUGGUGAGCAUUGAAGCCUUGUCGUGAGAUGGGGUGGAGCCGCCAGUUGUGCAGAUCU